UACGAAGGGGGCUAGCGUUGCUCGGAAUCACUGGGCGUAAAGCGCACGUAGGCGGAUUGUUAAGUCAGGGGUGAAAUCCUGGAGCUCAACUCCAGAACUGCCUUUGAUACUGGAGACCUUGAGUCCGGGAGAGGUGAGUGGAAUUGUGAGUGUAGAGGUGAAAUUCGUAGAUAUUCGGAGGAACACCAGUGGCGAGGGCGGCUCACUGGUCCAUUACUGACGCUGAGGUGCGAAAGCGUGGGGAGCA
rnacentral:rRNA from 1 species